rnacentral:rRNA from 1 species
GACGAACCUGACAAACGUUAUUCGGAAUUACUGGGCUUAAAUGGUGCGUAGGCGGCGUGGCAAGUUGGGUGUGAAAUCCCUCGGCUCAACUGAGGAACUGCGCUCAAUACUGCCAUGCUCGAGGGAGACAGAGGUGAGCGGAACUUAGGGUGGAGCGGUGAAAUGCGUUGAUAUCCUAAGGAACACCGGUAGCGAAAGCGGCUCACUGGGCCUUUUCUGACGCUGAGGCACGAAAGCUAGGGUAGCGAACGGG